AAAAAGAAAAAGAAAAAGAAAGUUUAUGUGGUCAACUUCUCCAAGGCCAAGGUAGAGAUGUGGCCUCCUCUUGGGGCAAAUGGAUAGGUAAAACUCUUGCUACCAGAGUAGGCGAGUGGGAGUUGGGGGGGAAUUGUGUGGUCUCCACUUAGCUGUUUUUGUUUAUUUGUUGUUUUUAAUCAAUUCCUUAUGCCCACCAGGGAAGCAUUCAGAAAUUGUUUGAACAGGUAACUCGUGCUCAAGCCACAGCUCAGCUCUGGCCCUUGGAAUGUAGACUAAGUGAUGAGCUUGCUUUGGAAGGAUGGCAUGCCCAAGACAACAGAUGGAGCAGACCAAGCAGAGGCCUGGGUUCACAGUUCACUGAAGGGAGCUGGAGAAACAGCAGCCUCCUUAGCUUCCUUACUAGAGCUCAAUUGUGGUCCCUUCUCCACAGCCUGCUCCCUGCUCUGCUGUGGCCUCUGAGCUCCUACACAAAGAGCUCACUUCCUUCCUAAGGACCCUUACGAACCUGCACUUGGUGCUUGGAUCAAAGGAAGACAAGGGAGUGCAAGCUACUGGGGAUUCCUGGAGGAGUUGAUAAUGUGGAAAGGUCGACCCGAGUGUACAGUGCUGGUUUCGGAGGACUGAGCCCUGAACACAAGAUGGUGUUCACAAGAGGCCAUACUCAGCUUGGAGGAUUGUGGCAGGGGCUUCUCACCUGUUCACACCAUGGAGGAGCAGGAAGUAGAGACAGCUGGAUUUUCACAUCUCAUUUUGUUGUUGAUUUAGGGAAAGCUUCUGGCUGAGUAAUGAACCCAAUUCAUUUUGGCAGCUCCUGCAAGCCCCAGUUUCUACUGAGAUAUGUCUCCGAUCAUGAAGCACCCCAGGAAACUGUCAGUUCAGGCUGCUUUGAGCUGUUUGACCAUUUGAUUUAUGUGGGGGCUUCUCUUGGAUUCUCUUUGGUCCUAGGGAUGGCUAAAAAUUCUGCUGGCUCUGUGGUAUGUGUUUGGCUCAUUUGUUUGGGACAUUGAAAACACAUAUCAAGACUAGUAUGGUCAGGACUGGAGAGAUGGCUCAACUGUUAAGAGAUGGCUGCUUUUCCAGAGGAUCCAGGUUCAGUUUCCAGCACCCACUUGUCAGCUCACAACUGUC